GGGCGCAAGCCUGAUCCAGCCAUGCCGCGUGCAGGAUGACGGUCCUAUGGAUUGUAAACUGCUUUUGUACAGGAAGAAACACUCCCWCGUGWGGGAGCUUGACGGUACUGUAWGAAUAAGGAUCGGCUAACUCCGUGCCAGCAGCCGCGGUAAUACGGAGGAUCCAAGCGUUAUCCGGAAUCAUUGGGUUUAAAGGGUCCGUAGGCGGUUUAAUAAGUCAGUGGUGAAAGCCCAUCGCUCAACGGUGGAACGGCCAUUGAUACUGUUAGACUUGAAUUAUUAGGAAGUAACUAGAAUAUGUAGUGUAGCGGUGAAAUGCUUAGAGAUUACAUGGAAUACCAAUUGCGAAGGCAGGUUACUACUAAUGGAUUGACGCUGAUGGACGAAAGCGUGGGGAGCGAACAGGAUUAGAUACCCUGGUAGUCCACGCCGUAAACGAUGGAUACUAGCUGUUSGGAGCAAUCUSAGUGGCUAAGCGAAAGUGAUAAGUAUCCCACCUGGGGAGUACGUUCGCAAGAAUGAAACUCAAAUGAAUU
rnacentral:rRNA from 1 species